rnacentral:lncRNA from 1 species
CCGAUCUGGACCACCAAUCCGCAAAUCCAAACAUAAUUUUUGGAUAAGCAAUUGGGAUCUCUGAUCCGGUUUUUUAAACCCUGGUGAGAAGAGCGGCCAAUGUCAUGAUAAAAAGGGAGGAUUAAAGCUCCACAAUCGCAAGAAGCAUUUAUUACUCACAACGAGAUCUUCGUGUAUGAAAAGGAUCCCAAAAUGAACAGAACUACGGAGAAAAUGAAAGCCCAUGGCUUUUUGUUCACAUUUACUAUCAAUCCUCUCUCUCUCUCUC